rnacentral:rRNA from 1 species
UAUGUGAUCGUCUCUCGCAUAUCAAUAAGCGGAGGAAAAGAAACUAACAAGGAUUCCCUUAGUAACGGCGAGUGAAGCGGGAAGAGCUCAAAUUUGAAAUCUUCAAGGUUUUACCUUGACGAAUUGUAGUUUAAAGAAGUGUUUUCUGUUGAAGUUUUGGUAAAAGUUCUUUGGAAUAGGACAUCAUAGAGGGUGAGAAUCCCGUAUUUGACCAUUAUUUUCAGCUGUGUGAUACACUUUCAAAGAGUCGGAUUGUUUGGGAAUGCAGUCCAAAAUGGGUGGUAAAUUUCAUCUAAAGCUAAAUAUUGGCGAGAGACCGAUAGCGAACAAGUACCGUGAGGGAAAGAUGAAAAGAACUUUGAAAAGAGAGUUAAACAGUACGUGAAAUUGUCAAAAGGGAAGCGUUUGACACCAGUGUUGUUUUCUCGAAAAUCAAUUAAAAAGAGUUAGAUUUUGUUGUGUAUUGACCUUAACAGCUUGCAGUUUCAAUUUUCUUGCUUUUUUUAAUGCACUUUUCGUUUAACAAGUCAACAUCAGUUUCUUUUGUUGUAAAAAGGUCAUUGGAAGGUGGCUUUCUUUUCGGAGAAAGUGUUUAUAGCCUUUGACUCCUGCAAUCGGAGAGACUGAGGUCUGCAGCGUAGAUCCUUCGGGGUUAGAUACAUUUGUGCUAAGUUAUAGCUUUUUAUAGACAACUUGUUGACUAUGAUUAGUCUUGUAGCUUACUCGCUUAUGCUAUUUUACCUACGCUUAGGAUGUUGAAGAUGUAGCACAUCAU